rnacentral:rRNA from 1 species
AUACGUAGGUGGCGAGCGUUGUCCGGAAUUAGUUGGGCGUAAAGAGCAUGUAGGUCGGUUUUUAAGUCCGGAGUGAAAAUGCGGGGCUCAACCCCGUAUGGCUCUGGAUACUGGAAGACUUGAGUGCAGGAGAGGAAAGGGGAAUUCCCAGUGUAGCGGUGAAAUGCGUAGAUAUUGGGAGGAACACCAGUGGCGAAGGCGCCUUUCUGGACUGUGUCUGACGCUGAGAUGCGAAAGCCAGGGUAGC